rnacentral:rRNA from 1 species
UACAGAGGUCCCGAGCGUUGUUCGGAUUCACUGGGCGUAAAGGGUGCGUAGGUGGUGAGGUAAGUCGGAUGUGAAAUCUCCGGGCUCAACCCGGAAAUGGCAUUGGAAACUACCUUGCUGGAGGAUUUGAGGGGGGAUUGGAAUACUUGGUGUAGCAGUGAAAUGCGUAGAUAUCAAGUGGAACACCAGUGGCGAAGGCGAAUCCCUGGAAAAUACCUGACACUGAGGCGCGAAAGCUAGGGGAGCAAACGGG